UAAUAUUCUACUGUUUAUUAAAAACAUUUUAAUAUUACUAUAUUAUAUAUUCCUGCCCACUGAUACAUUUAAAUGGCCGCAGUAAUCUGACUGUGCUAAGGUAGCAUAAUCACUUGUUUAAUAAUUUUAAACUAGAAUGAACGGAAAAAAGCAAUAUUAAUUUUUAAUUAAUAAAUCCAGUUUAAAUCAUUCAAAAAGUGAAAAAACUUUUUGUAACUAUAAAAACGAGAAGACCCUAGAAAUUUUCAUUUUAGUUGGGACAAUUUAUUUAAUUAAAUAUAAAUACCCUUCAUACAAUUGAAAUAAAUUAAAUUACUCUAGGGAUAACAGCAUAAUAAUUAAAAAGAGACCUAAUCUAAAUAGUUGAUUGUGACCUCGAUGUUGAAUCAUUUUAUAGUAAAAUUUGCAGCAGAAUUUUACUUAUCGUCUGUUCGACGACURAGAAUUACGUGAUUUGAGUUUAAACCGUCGUAAGACAGGUUGGAUUCUCUUUUAUAGUUAUAUAUUAACGUUUGUAUUAGUACGAAAGGAUCAUACAAA
rnacentral:rRNA from 1 species